CGUAGGAUCCAAGCGUUGUCCGGAUUUACUGGGUGUAAAGGGUGCGCAGGCGGACUGGUUAGUCUGGGGUGAAAUCUCAUCGCUUAACGGUGAAACUGCCUUAGAUACUGCCAGUCUUGGAUAAGCGAGAGGUUCGUGGAAUUCCGAGUGUAGCAGUGAAAUGUGUAGAUAUUACAUGGAAUACCAAUUGCGAAGGCAGGUUACUACCAGUGGAUUGACGCUGAUGGACGAAAGCGUGGGUAGCGAACAGGAUUAGAUACCCUGGUAGUCCACGCCGUAAACGAUGGAUACUAGCUGUUGGGGGCAACUUCAGUGGCUAAGCGAAAGUGAUAAGUAUCCCACCUGGGGAGUACGUUCGCAAGAAUG
rnacentral:rRNA from 1 species